GAUGAACGCUGGCGGCGUGCUUAACACAUGCAAGUCGAACGGAAAGGCCCAAGCUUGCUUGGGUGCUCGAGUGGCGAACGGGUGAGUAACACGUGGGUGAUCUGCCCUGCACUUUGGGAUAAGCCUGGGAAACUGGGUCUAAUACCGGAUAGGACCAUCGUUUAGUGUCGGUGGUGGAAAGUUUUUCGGUGUGGGAUGAGCUCGCGGCCUAUCAGCUUGUUGGUGGGGUAAUGGCCUACCAAGGCGUCAACGGGUAGCCGGCCUGAGAGGGUGUACGGCCACAUUGGGACUGAGAUACGGCCCAGACUCCUACGGGAGGCAGCAGUGGGGAAUAUUGCACAAUGGGCGCAAGCCUGAUGCAGCGACGCCGCGUGGGGGAUGACGGCCUUCGGGUUGUAAACUCCUUUCGCCAAGGACGAAGCGUUUUGUGACGGUACUUGGAGAAGAAGCACCGGCUAACUACGUG
rnacentral:rRNA from 1 species